rnacentral:rRNA from 1 species
GACGAACGCUGGCGGCGCGCCUAACACAUGCAAGUCGAACGAGCGAGAGAGAGCUUGCUUUCUCGAGCGAGUGGCGAACGGGUGAGUAACGCGUGAGGAACCUGCCUCAAAGAGGGGGACAACAGUUGGAAACGACUGCUAAUACCGCAUAAGCCCACGGGUCGGCAUCGACCAGAGGGAAAAGGAGCAAUCCGCUUUGAGAUGGCCUCGCGUCCGAUUAGCUAGUUGGUGAGGUAAUGGCCCACCAAGGCGACGAUCGGUAGCCGGACUGAGAGGUUGAACGGCCACAUUGGGACUGAGACACGGCCCAGACUCCUACGGGAGGCAGCAGUGGGGAAUAUUGCACAAUGGGGGAAACCCUGAUGCAGCGACGCCGCGUGGAGGAAGAAGGUCUUCGGAUUGUAAACUCCUGUUGUUGGGGAAGAUAAUGACGGUACCCAACAAGGAAG